rnacentral:lncRNA from 1 species
CUCAGUCUGACAUGACUGCUACGUAGUACCCAGACGGCUUCUUUCUCGAUCUUCAGGGGUACGUGUCUUCCAUCCAGGUCCCAAUAUCAUCACCAGAUGAGAAUAUGUAUGGAUUCAUGAACAAGAAAAUUGCUUAACCAUUUGAUCAAGAGAGAUUGGAAAAUCAAGAUGAAGCAGGUCUGGGUGAAAGAGCUGUGAAUGGAUUAAUGGAACAGAAAGGAGGUGUGGAGAUCCUUCUAUUACAUGUUAAUGAUCACCAGGGAACAUCCACUACAAUAGAACAUCCCACUAAAUCACCAGUAGACACAAGAGAAUAUGUGGCCAGUUGACUUUGGCCAGCCUCUGUCAUUAGAUGUCAAUGUUCAAACAACGGUACAUGAAUGGCAUAGCCCUGGUAGCAGGAGUGGGGGCUAUGCAUGGAUCCAGCAAUACACACUCCCACUCCACAACAUUGACCCAGCCACCAAGGCUGACAAAAUAUUCAACCUUCCAGCAACAGAAACCAAGGAUGACCCUUAUCCCUGCCCAGGUAUGGUAUUAGCCCUUGAGACUAACCAGCCAUGUGGUGGGAAGUUGAAUAUCUUCUACCCUGGAAAGGUCAUUGAUUCAUUUUAGUAUGAAUUAAUUCAUGUUUCUGGGUUGGAUUUGCUGUUCUUGCCUGCAGGGCCUCAGCUGGCACCAGCAUCUAAAGGCUUAGAGAGUUAGUGAUCCACCAACAUGGCAUCUCACAUAACAUCCCAUCAAACCAAGUGACCCACUUUACUAGAAAUGAGGUGCACGAGUGGACAAGCUCCAGCUUGACCCAAGUGGAACAAGCUCUACUAGUCCCAUCAGAUCAUGCACCAUCCAGAAGCUGCCACACUAACAGAGUGAUGGAAAGGCCUGUUGAAGGCAUAGUGGAUGAGCCACACCAUUGCAAGGGGCAGCCUGCAUCCAACAACUUGUCAGCACAGGACUAUAAAGGCCUUACCCUUUGCCUCUGUGAAGCAUCCCACAGAGAGGUGCAUCCACCUCUGAAGGUACAUCCCAGCUUCAGGCUCCCAGUCACUUUGGGCUUACCCAGCCUCUUCGUCUGCCCUGCUUUUCUCCCUCCCCUUCCUUCCUGCAGGUUUGGAUCCUGAGAGCACUCCCUAAUAAACCUCAUGCCCACAAAUCUCUAUCUUGGAAUCUGCUUCUUCGGAACCAAAUCUGGGACAGAUCAAUUUACAAAGAUAGAAGGGUUUAGGAAGGCAAAAGGGUUUCUGUUACCAUGUCUAGGCCUGAAGGGACAAAGAGAGGAACUUGGAGCAAGAGCCAUAUGGAAAAAACAAUCUGAAAGAUUGUAGGGAUUCUGGCAGAAGCACAAGGCCAAGCCCUGGCAAUCCCCACCUCACAUCCCUCCGCUCUUUCAUCUCCCCUUAGUGCCUCCCAUUGUAGAACCAAACUGGAAGUGGUGGUCAGUGGAUUCCUUUGUCUGUUUCUUAUAGGUCAGCCUCCUGGGGCAGAGAGCAUGUUAGAGUGUGGAUUUGGAGGUGCAAAUGAAAGUUACCCUGUAGCCCACUUGACUCUGUAGAUUUCUUUUUCUCUUACAGAAAAUAAAUUAAAUUAUGUAUCUUCUUUAGAGAUAGGGUAUGACUUCUAUUUUGAGUUAUCUGUGUCAUUUAAUUAAUAUACAAAUAAAAUGACAUGACAGAAAAUACUUACUUGAAUACAAAGGACAAGUAAUUAGAUCUUAGAUAAUAAAUCCAUCCCUUUAGAUAAGACUUUAGGCAAAUGGAUUUAUAAGUAAAAGCAAUAGGAAAACUUGCUACCUAAGCAUGAAAAAUGAUGUUCCUGAUAAAUUCCUGGAAGGAAGCUGGUGUCAGCCCCCAACUCCUUUCUAGGCCUCUACCAGCCUAUAUUCCAAAUGGCCCUGCCAUGGCUCUUCUUUUCUUAAGAUUUGAUCUUUCUCCAGGCAUGGAUGAACCACAUGUAAGACAUUUAAACAGCCCAGGUGCCAAAUUUAGUAGGGCUUAGGAUUACACAACAUUCCCAAACCUGGGAUCUGAAGGGCCAGGUGCUGACCAACAGGAUCCCAAAUUCAUCCCAGGGGCUCUUUGACCGAUAACCAGAAUGUGAAUUCAACUGCUGGAUGACCCCAUGCAAAGCUCUCCCUGGCGCUGAGUAAUCCAGUUCCCUUUUCAUUAAAAGCCAUCUACUUUCCCAGGAGGGGGAAUCCUUCUGCACAGCCCAUUCCUAUGACUAAGCUCUGUGUUCACAAGGAAGAUCUCCUCUCAGUCCUGCUAUGCCCCCACUGCUGAGCUUGGAACCCCAAUACUAAGUAUAGCCUGUGUCACAAUUGUUCUUGCUGAGAUCUUCUACUAUUGCCUGAACACAACUCAUUCCUGAUCCCCUCUAGUGAGUAUGUCCCUGGCCAUUUUUCAGCACUUUUAUCCUCUUUUCUUGCUCUGAGUUUUCAUGGACAGGGUAUCUAGGAAAAGGAAAAGGAAGAAGGAAUAAAUCAAAUGCCUACAGACCUUCAAAGAGUGCUCCAAAGCCAGUGUAAAGCACUGGGGAACAGUGAGGAUUAGGGCAAAAUAUUUCUUAUAAUGUUCUGAGUUUCAUGAGUUGAAGGCUUUAGUGCUUAAUGUCCAAAUGAUGCAAAUGAAAACACCCUUUCAUUCUUCUUUUCCUUUUUAAAAAACAAGGAAGAAGACAGUCAAAGCCUCAGUCUAUACUAUAUUUACACUUGACUCAAAUGCAUUAAUAACAUUGUAGACUAAGGAGGUAUCUGGGGGAAAAAUAGUUUUGUGAUUUAACUGUAGUGCAAAUUUUACCUAGUAAAAGGUUUUUGAUAUUUAUCCUCAGAGAAGAUCUA